rnacentral:lncRNA from 1 species
GCCCAGUGAGUAGAGCUAGUAAAACACGUUAACACUAUGCUCUAUGAAAUGCAUCAUAACACAAACAAUCCACAUAAGGGUUGGGUGAACUCGUCACCGAUUAGUCCAAGUUAACUCUGUGCCAGGCCUGUAGAAUGGGGUCCUGGUCUUUCCUGUCAGAACAUACAUUACUUACCAUUUUCCCAGGGCCUCCUCUGGCUCCUGGUCUUCAAGUCCCAUAAUCGUGCUAGACCAUAGGAUGGGAUCCUGGUCUUUCCUUACUCUGUGCCAGGCCUGUAGACUGGGGCCUGGUCUUUCUUACUCUGUGCCAGGCCUGUAGCAUGGGGCCUGGUCUUCCUGUCAUGGACUAACUGGGUCAUCCGACAUUCACCCACAACAACACCUGGUCUUUCUUACUCUGUGCCAGGCCUGUAGCAUGGGGCCUGGUCUUCCUGUCAUGGACUAACUGGGUCAUCCGACAUUCACCCACAACAACAACAAUUUAUGCAAUG